AAAGAUAACCUAUAUACGGGAAAAUAAACUACCGGCAAUCCAUACAUGCAAAAAUACCUAUGACCGCUCUAAAAUAAAUAGAAAAAUGAUCCCUAAAACAUGGACAUUUAAUCUACGGUAUACGGGCAGUCCGGACACGCGUGAAAAAUAAUCACGAGCACUAAUCUAAUGGGACAACAUGUUACUCUAGGCAAACAGUGGGUCAAACCUCAUCAAGCAUUUAUGCAAGUUGCAAAAACGAAUACUACGCGAAAUUCUACACCAAAUCGAUAUAAAGAUCACCUCGAUCCGACUUACGGAAUAUAACAUACGUACGUUUAAAAAUAUGGCAUUUUUCUGGAAACGGAAUAAAUCGCAAGAAAAAUAAAUAAAUACCUAAAGCCUAAAUGGGCCGAAAGCGCAGGCGCAUGAAAGCUAAAAGAUGCCCAGGGCGUUGGAUAGGGCACGGGUUAACUCACCUAGGGCCAUCGGGCCAUGAGAGGAGGCAGGCCGGUGCUGGGCGACUGGGCCGAGGCGCCGCGAGGCGGUGGGAGGCCUGCGGGGCAACUGGGCCAACUGGGCCGAGGCGACAGCCGGCUGGGCCACAUCGGCGCUGGCGCGGCAGGCCCAGGUGGNNNNNNNNNNNNNNNNNNNNNNNNNNNNNNNNNNNNNNNNNNNNNNNNNNNNNNNNNNNNNNNNNNNNNNNNNNNNNNNNNNNNNNNNNNNNNNNNNNNNCAUGUUAGUAGGGUGUUGUGAAUCUAGAAAUACUUGUUUUGAGGUUUGUGAUUCCCGUAGCAUGCACGUAUGGUGAACCACUAUAUUAGGAAGUCGGAGCAUAAUUGAUUUAUUGAUUGUCAUCCUUUGUGUGGCGGUCGGGAUCGCGCGAUGGUUAACACCUACCAACCCUUCCCCUAGGAGUAUGCGUUUAGCACUUUGUUUCGAUUACUAUUAAAACUUUCGCAAUAAGUAUAUGAGUUCUUCAUGACUAAUGUGAGUCCAUGGAUUAUACGCACUCUCACCCUUCCACCAUUGCUAGCCUCUCUAGUGCCUCGCAACUUUCGCCGCUGCACAAACCCACCAUAUACCUUCCUCAAAACAUCCACCAUACCUACCUAUUAUGGCAUUUUCAUAGCCAUUCCGAGAUAUAUUGCCAUGCAACUCCCACCGUUCCGUCUCAUGACAUAUGCCGUCACUUUAAUAUUGCCAUUGCAUGAUUGUAAGAUAGCUAGCGAGAUGUUUCAACGUCAUACGCUAAGCUAGAUCGUUGUACAUCCCGGUACACUGUCGGAGGCAUUUCAUAUAGAGUCAUCAUUGUUGUAAGUAUUGAGUUGUAAGUAAAUGAAAGUGUGAUGAUCAUCACUAUUAGAGCAUUGUCCCAUGUGAGGAAAUAAAAAAGAGAGGCCAAAGAUGCCCACCAAAAAAAUGAAAAAAAGAGGCCAAAGAGCCCAAACAAAAAAAUGAGAGAAAAAGAGAGAAGGGACAAUGCUACUAUCUUUUUCCACACUUGUGCUUCAAAAUAGCACCAUGCUUUUCAUGAUAGAGAGUCUCUUGUUUUGACACUUCCAUAUACUAGUGGGAAUUUUCAUUAUAUAACUUGGCUUGUAUAUUCCANNNNNNNNNNUAUAGAUGCACUCUCACCUUCCACCAUUGGUAGCCUCUCUAGUGUCGCGCAACUUUCGCCGGUGCACAAACCCACCAUAUACCUUCCUCAAAACAGCCAUCAUACCUACCUAUUAUGGCAUUUUCAUAGCCAUUCCGAGAUAUAUUGCCAUGCAACUUCCACCGUUCCGUCUCAUGACAUGUGCCAUCAUUUUCAUUUUACCAUUGCAUGAUUAUAAGAUAGGUAGCGAGAUGUUUCAACGUCAUACACUAAGCUAGAUCGUUGCACAUCCCGGUACACUGCCGGAGGCAUUUCAUAUAGAGUCAUUAUUGUUCCAAGUAUUGAGUUGUAAGUAAAUAAAAGUGUGAUGAUCAUCGUUAUUAGAGCAUUGUCCCAUGUGAGGAAAUAAAAAAAAAGAGGCCAAAGAUGCCCACCAAAAAAAAUGAAAUGAAAAACGAGGCCAAAGAGCCCAAACAAAAAAAAUAAUGAGAGAAAAAGAGAGAAGGGACAAUGCUACUAUCUUUUUUCCACACUUGUGCUUCAAAGUAGCACCGUGUUCUUCAUGAUAGAGAGUCUCUUGUUUUGUCACUUUCAUAUACUAGUGGGAAUUUUCAUUAUAUAACUUGGCUUGUAUAUUCCAAUGAUGGGCUUCCUCAAAAUUGCCCUAGGUCUUCGUGAGCAAGCAAGUUGGGUGCACAACCACUAGUUUUCUUUUUGAGCUUUCAUACACUUAUAGCUCUAGUGCAUCCGUUGCAUGGCAAUCCCUACUCACUCACAUUGAUAUCUAUUGAUGGGCAUCUCCAUAGCCCGUUGAUACGCCGAGUCGAUGUGACCAUCUCCUCCUUUUUGCCUCACAACCUCCACCACACUCUAUUCCACCUAUAGAGCUAUAUCCAUGGCUCACGCUCAUGUAUUGCGUGAGAGUUGAAAAAGUUUGAGAAAGUAAGAGUGUGAAAACAAUUACUUGGCAAAUACCGAGGUUGUGCAUGAUUUAAAUUCAUUGUGUGGGGAUGAUGGAGCAUAGCCAGACUAUAUGAUUUUGUAGGGAUAACUUUCUUUGGCCUUGUUAUUUCAAAAGUUCAUGAUUACNNNNNNNNNNGCUAGUAUGCUUGAAGUAUUAUUGUUUGCAUGUCAAUAUUAAACUAUUGUUUUGAAUCUUACGAAUCUGAACAUUCAUGCCACAAUAGAUAAGUUACAAAGAACAAAUAUGUUAGGUAGCAUUCCACAUCAAAAAUUCGGUCUUUAUCACUUCCCUAGUCGAGGACGAGCAGGAGUUAAGCUUGGGGAUGCUUGAUACGUCUCCAACGUAUCUAUAAUUUUUGACUAUUCCAUGCUAUUAUAUUAUCAACUUGGGAUGUCUUAUAUGCAUUUAUAUGCUAUUUUAUAUCAUUUUUGGGACUAGCCUAUUAACUCAGUGCCCAGUGCCAGUUUCUAUUUUUUCCGUGUUUUUGAUCUUUUUCAGAUAAGAAUAUUAAACGGAGUCCAAACGGAAUAAAACCUACACGGUGAUUUUUUUCCAUAAGAGAAGAUAGCCAGAAGACUUGAGAACCAAGGCAGGGGGUCUCGUGGGAGGAAACGAGCCCCCUAGGCACGCCCCAGGGGGGGGGGCUAGCAGGCUCGUGGGCCCCCCUUGCCUCCUUUGCCCUACCUCUUUCGCCUAUAAUUUUUCUAAAAUCCCGAAACCAACCGGGAGAGCCACGAAAAUAAUUUUCCGUCGCUGCAAGCUUCUGUUUCUGCGAGAUCCCAUCUGGGGACCGUUCUGGUGCCCUGCCGGAGGGGGAUUCGGGCACGGAGGGCUUCUUCAUCAACACCAUUGCCUCUCCGAUGAUGCGUGANNNNNNNNNNNNNNNNNNNNNNNNNNNNNNNNNNNNNNNNNNNNNNNNNNNNNNNNNNNNNNNNNNNNNNNNNNNNNNNNNNNNNNNNNNNNNNNNNNNNUGCCCUACCUCUUUCGCCUAUAAAUUCCCUAAAAUCCCAAAACCAACAGGGAGAGCCACGAAAAUACUUUUCUGCCGCCGCAAGCUUCCGUUUCCGCGACACGGAGGGCUUCUUCAUCAACACCAUUGCCUCUCCGAUGAUACGUGAGUAGUUCACCAUAGACCUUCGGGUCCAUAGCUAGUAUCUAGAUGGCUUCUUCUCUCUCUAGGAUCUUCAAUACAAAGUUCUCCAUGAUCUUCAUGGAGAUCUAUCCGAUGUAACUUUCUUUUGCGGUGUGUUUGUCGAGAUCCGAUGAAUUGUGGAUUUAUGAUCAGAUUAUCUAUGAAUAUUAUUUGAGUCUCCUUUGAUUUCUUAUAUGCAUGAUUUUGUAUCCUUGUAAUUCUCUUCGAGUUAUGGGUUUCGUUUGGCCAACUUGAUCNNNNNNNNNNNNNNNNNNNNNNNNNNNNNNNNNNNNNNNNNNNNNNNNNNNNNNNNNNNNNNNNNNNNNNNNNNNNNNNNNNNNNNNNNNNNNNNNNNNNNNNNNNNNNNNNNNNNNNNNNNNNNNNNNNNNNNNNNNNNNNNNNNNNNNNNNCGGUGUCCUCGCCUAGUGACAGAAGGGGUAGCGAGGCACGCAUCGUGUUGUUUCCAUCAAAGGUAAAAAGAUGGGGUUUAUAUCAUAUUGCAUGAAUUUAUCCCUCUACAUCAUGUCAUCUUGCUUAAGGCGUUACUCUGUUUGUUAUGAACUUAAUACACUAGAUGCAUGCUGGAUAGCGGUCGAUGUGUGGAGUAAUAGUAGUAGAUGCAGAAAGUAUCGGUCUACUUGUCUCGGAUGUGAUGCCUAUAUGUAUGAUCAUUCCCUUAGAUAUCGUCAUGACUUUGCGCGAUUCUAUCAAUUGCUCCACAGUAAUUCGUUCACCCACCGUAAUACUUGUUAUCAUGAGAGAAGCCUCUAGUGAACACUAUGGCCCCCGGGUCUAUUUNNNNNNNNNNNNNNNNNNNNNNNNNNNNNNNNNNNNNNNNNNNNNNNNNNNNNNNNNNNNNNNNNNNNNNNNNNNNNNNNNNNNNNNNNNNNNNNNNNNNAGCGGUGCCACGCCGAGGAACGACAAAUCUCGCCCACGAUGCGACGCAAUCACCACCACCCGGUCCUCCUUCCAGAUGGCAUCGCGCCCCGAAUAGAUAGAUAGAUAGAGUAGGUCAGACACACGCACAGUCACAGGAGAGAGAACGUGAGAAAAAUUAAAAAAUAGAAAAAGCAACGGGUCGCACGCACACCCACAUGGGACACGGCCCGGCCCGGCCCGGUCCCCCUACCCAAGCCGCAGGAGCAGCACUCUCACUCGCACCCGCACCGCCAGCCGUGAAGGAAAGAAACCGCACGACGGGGUGGCGUUUUUGUGGAUACCCCCCUGAAAGACCGGGCGUCGCGCGCACGCCCCCCUGCCCGGGCCAGCGCUAUAUAAGCGCGAGCCCGACGCGGCGUCGCUGCACAACACGCACCGCUUUUUGCACCACUCUUUUCCCCUCCCUCCCGUCUGCACGUUUCGCGCCCUCUUUCACGAUUCCGGUUACCUUCACCUGCACCCACCCACCGCCCACCCCCCUUCCAAGGGAAAGAAUACGGAGAAGGAACAAGGGAGAAAGCUCGUCUGCCGGCCGGCCAUGGAGAGCUCCUCAUCCUCCUCGUCUCUGCUGCUCAGCUCGUAUACCGGCGGCAGCGGCAAGAGGGGCAGGGAGGUCGACCUUGAGGGGCCGGAGGCGGAGGCUGCCAAGAGGAUGCGGCCCGAGGACCUGCUCGACCUGCUGGACGACGACACCGACGCCGCGGCGGCAGGCGACCUGGCCUCCGUCAUGCGGAGCCUGGAGAAGGAGAUAUGCGCCGGCGACCUAGCCCCGCCGCAGCCGGAGCUGGGGUUCCUGCUCGAGGCCUCGGACGACGAGCUCGGCCUCCCGCCGGCCGCGGGGGCGUCGUCCUCGUCGGACGACGCCGGGGGNNNNNNNNNNNNNNNNNNNNNNNNNNNNNNNNNNNNNNNNNNNNNNNNNNNNNNNNNNNNNNNNNNNNNNNNNNNNNNNNNNNNNNNNNNNNNNNNNNNNNNNNNNNNNNNNNNNNNNNNNNNNNNNNNNNCCGCUGCCGUCUUCGGGGACCAGAUCUGGGGCUUCGAGGACGAGAUCGAUGGCGCGUAUGCCUUUGGCGGCAUCGCCUCCUCGCCGGAGGCUGCGGCGGCGGCNNNNNNNNNNNNNNNNNNNNNNNNNNNNNNNNNNNNNNNNNNNNNNNNNNNNNNNNNNNNNNNNNNNNNNNNNNNNNNNNNNNNNNNNNNNNNNNNNNNNAUCUUUUGAGCUAUUCCUAGAAGUGUCACAAACAGCCUUAGAGUUCGUACUAGAAUAACACUCAUGAUACAUAUCAGCCCUAGAGUUUGAAUAUAGGGAGGUGUCGCACCUGAGAGCUCCUAUGCACUUUCGCAACAUCACUAGUUGUCCGCUACUUCCUUUUUUAUAAGGCGUGUUCAGUUUUCAAGUCCAGUAUUUCCAGNCGCUGGCCUAAACUAAGCUCUGUCGUUGAGCAUUUUCAUCUUUGACAAAAUUUAUAGAAAACAUCAUUAACAAUACCAAAUCAGUACCAUUUGAUACAUCAUGAAAUAUAUUUCAUGUCUUACUUAUUUUAUGGCAUAAGUACCAAUGGUUUUUCUAUAAAUUUGACCAAAGUUUGAACGAAUGAAUUCCAAUAUAUCGAUACACCCUUAUAAAAAUGAAUGGAGGUAGUACGAAAACCUUUUCCUGGCUAAAUCGUGUAGUAAAUGACAGAAGGUUCCGCAGAUAUACAUUUCGUACAUUUCAAAUUGAAACCUCUAGCGUAACGGGCCAUCAAGACCCGUAACUGGAAAUAUAUCCGUCUUCUAAUGUGCACCGAGAUCAUGAGCCGCUGGCUACACUCACUCGACAGGCUUCGUCCAGUCGGUCUGAUCCAUGAACAGUAUGAGAUAAAACUUAGCCUACUGGAAAUACAUUGAAGUUUUUUUAUGACACCCGUCCGGAGUCCGGAGUGUCAGCUCGAUCCAUGGAGGCGGAUUGUCAGUUGCCCUCCAUUUCCAAUAUCAUUUAGCCUCAGCUAGCAUUGUGUACCCAGUUGUGGCAACAAUGGCCCUGUUUGGAUCCAUAGGCUAGAGUUAGUUUGAGCUAGUUGAGGCUCAAAUAGCACUAAAGUAUCCAAACAUGAGGGUUAGAUUGGAGCUAGUUGCAUCUAAUCCACCAAAAAACUAGCCCACCCAAGAGGUGCUAAUUGGAGCUGGUUUUCAUGGGGCCCACUAAAAGUCACUUUUCUCUCUCUAUCCACGAGGUAAUUUUUUCGAAAAGGAGGCAUCGCCCCAGCCUCUGCAUCGAGUGAUGCAUGAAGCCCUUUAUUAAGAAGCGUAAUAAUCCAAAGCAAGUACAAAGUGUAACGGUAAUCCUUAAGCAGAAAUUACAAGGCGAUCAACGCCCAAAAGAAAAGAUAGAAAUAGGUGAAGUUGGCUAACUCCCUAUUCUAUCAGCAUGUCGCCAUCCAUAUUGGCUGAAGAUAGCCUGAGCUACCAUCUCCCAUCGGGCACACCCAGUAACCAAAGGCUCCCUGGUUUCCACAGGAGUGAGUAAGGACCACAUGCGGAUCGAGGCGGUAGUCCUAAAGAUGACCUACAAAAAAUUAAUACAAUGUUGUCUGUUAAAAACUAGGUCAUUCCUACAGUUCCAAAUAGACCACAAAAGUGCGGAUGUUCCAACUCGAAUUAGUUUGGCUAACCAAACAUUAACCCCAUCCAGCCAUGUCCCAAAUAACAUGUUAAUGCUGGUAGGCGGGGUGAUGUUAAAGGCAAUAUGGAUUGAGCGUCAUAAAAGUUUAGCCAUAGGGCAUUCUAGAAAGAGCUGCUUAAUUGUUUCAGACGACUGACAUAAGCUACACCUUCGAUUUCCCUUCCACUUUCGCUUGGCUAAGUUGUCCUUAGUUAAAACAACACCUUUGUGAACAAACCACAAAAAGAGUUUUAACUUAAGUGGCACUUUGACGUUCCAAAUAUGCGAAGAUUUUGGAAUAGGUGUAUUGUCAAUAAUAUGGUCAUACAUUGAUUUCACUCAGAAAGUACCAUUGGAGGUCAGUCUCGAAGUAAUUCGAUCAGGGACAUCGGUAAGACUAACAUCCAUUAGCCUUCUGACUAAAUGUAACCAUCUACCCCAUCUAUUGCCAACUAAGGAUCUUCGAAACUGGAUGUUAAGAGGAGUCUCACGUAACACUACCGCAACAGACGUCUCUCUGCGCUGGGCAAUAUUAUACAACUGCGGGUAUUGUAUAGCUAGUGGCACAUCCCCUAGCCAACUAUCCUCCCAGAAUCUAGUAGAUUCACCAUUACCUAUGAUGAAUUUAGUCCUAUUAAAAAAAGCCGUUUUAGUCCUCAUAAGACCUUUCCAAAAAGGUGAAUCUCCCGGUCUCAAAGUGACCUGAGCUAAGGUUUUUUGCUGCAAGUACUUGUUCGUCAGAAUUUGUACCCACAUACCUUCUGAUUCUCCAGAGAGCCUGAAAAGCCACUUGCUUAGCAGGCACCUGUUCUUAACCUCUAAAUUUUCAAUCCCCAACCCUCCCUGAUCCUUUGGCCUACAAAUAAUAUCCCAUCUAGCCAGCCUGUAAUUGGUCUUGAUCUUAUCACUCUGCCAGAAAAAUCGUGACCGGUAAAAGUCCAACCUUCUUCGCACCCCUACGGGUACUUCAAAAAAGGAUAGGAGGAACAUUGGCAUGCUUGUCAACACCGAGUUAACUAAAACCAAUCGUCCUCCAUAAGAUAGUAGCUUGCCUAUCCAACAGCUCAAUUUUUUCUCAAACCGAUCCUCUAUGCACUUCCACUCCUUAAUAGUUAAUUUUCGGUGGUGAAUAGGGAUCCCUAAGUACGUAAACGGCAACGUACCACCUUCACAACCAAAGAGUUGAUUAUAUGAGAGCUGUUCUGCUUUGGCUUCCCCAAAACAGAAGAGCUCACUUUUGUGGAAGUUAAUCUUCAGCCCAGAUAGCUGUUCGAAUAAGCAUAAAAUUAGCUUCAUAUUUCUGGCUUUUUUGAGAUCGUGUUCCAUGAAAAGGAUUGUGUCAUCCGCAUAUUGUAGGAUGGAGACCCCCCCCCCCAUCUACCAGGUGAGGCACUAAUCCCCGUACUAACCCUUUGUUAAUAGCCCUCCUGAUCAUUAGCGCUAACAUAUCUGCUACGAUGUUGAAUAAGAUAGGUGACAUAGGAUCUCCUUGCCUAAGUCCCUUGAGUGUCUGAAUGAAAUGACCGACAUCAUCAUUAACUUUAAUACCGACACUACCCUUUUGUAUAAAACAAUCGAUAUGUUUUCGCCAAAUCUCACCAAACCCCUUCAUACGGAGAGUUUGUUGCAAGAAAGACCAUUUGACCUUAUCAUAAGCUUUUUCGAAGUCUACCUUAAAAAGUACUCCGUCAAGCUUCUUGGAGUGCAAUUCGUGCAGGGUUUCAUGCAACACGACUACUCCUUCAAGAAUGUUCCGACCAAGCAUAAAGGCUGUCUGCGAAGAUUGCACCACAGAAUGUGCCAUCUUGGUUAGCCUAUCCGUUCCCACCUUUGUGAAAAUUUUGAAGCUAACAUUGACAGACAUAUGGGGCGAAAUUGUUCAAUACGCGAAGCACCCUCUUUCUUUGGUAGCAACGUAAUCGUACCAAAAUUAAGAUGAAAGAGUUGUAGGUGCCCAGAAAACAGAUCGUGAAACAUAGACAAGAGAUCAUCCUUAAAGAUAUGCCAACAUUUCUUAUAGAACUCAGCUGGGAACCCAUCUGGCCCCGGUGCUUUACCAUUCUUCAUACCCUCAAUCGCUAGUAACACCUCUUUCUCUAGGAAUGGUGCGGAAAGACUCUCGUUGUCGGACUGUCCGACUUGAGGAAUAUCCGCAAUCUGAUGCUCGUCCAUAGACACAAAACUAUGAGCCGGAGCACCAAACAACCGCUUAUAGUAGUUUGUGAUGUACAAUUUUAGAUUCUCAUGACCUACUAUUGUACCCUCAUCUUGUUCUAGUUGUAUUAUCCUCUUUUCCGAUGCUUGCCAUUGACAAUCAAGUGGAAAAAUUUUGUGUUGUCAUCCCCUUGGACAAUAGCCCUAACUUUAGCUCUAAGAGCCCAUUUCAUUUCCUCUUCUCGAAGAAGGAUCCGAACUCUUUGUUCAGCAUCAUACUUCAAAGCCCUCUCGUGUUCAUCUAGCAAGCGAGUUUCUGCCUGACGAUCUAGAGUGUCUAUGAAUUGGAGCAGUCUAUCUUGCUCGUCUUUAUAAACCCCAUAGAUAUUCUUAGCCCAACCUCUCAAGAAUUGUCUAAGAUGUCGAAUUUUGCUUUGCCAUCUAUCAACACUAGACUUCCCUUCCCCCACAUCCUUGUUCCAUUCCCUAGCAAUCAAGUCCAGAAACCCCUCACGUGUGAACCAACUGGAUUCAAAAGAGAAAGCAUCUUUUCCCCUUUGUGAGAGGCCUCACUCGAAUCUAGUAGGAGUGGGGUAUGGUCAGAUAUAGCCCUUUAAAGUGCACAAACCGUGACUAGCGGGAAUUUUUGUUCCUAGUCAACACUAGUAAGUACCCUGUCCAAUUUUUCGAAUGUUUGAUUAUGUAGAGAGUUAGCCCAAGUAUAUUUCCUCCCUGAGAGAUCAAUCUCCCGUAGGUUUAGGCUCUAUAAUUUUGUUGAACAUAAAGGGCCAUCUGCCAUCAAAGUUAUUAUUAUUAUUCUCAUCAGCUGUCCUGAUAAUAUUGAAAUCACCACCUACCACAAGUGGUAAGGUGUCAUCGCAAAUUCGAACUAAAUUAGCAAGAAAGGCGGGCUUUUGCUCUGUUUGUGCGGCCCCAUAAACCGCAACUAGAGCCCAUUGGAACCCAUCUUCCUUGGUUCUGAUUCGAAAUUUGACCGAAAACUCCCCGAGCACCACUUCGCGAACUUGAAGUGUAUGACAACGAACCCCAAGUAAGAUCCCUCCGUACCUUCCUCUUGGAGGAAAACAAUGCCAAUCAAAUUCAGCACCUCGUGAAAGAGAGUUGAGAAAUUGCGAUGUGAAAUUAUCCCGUCCAGUCUCCAUCAACGCGAUGAAGUCAAGACUAUGCUGUAAUGUUGUUUCCGCAAUGAACAGAAUUUUAGCCAAGUCUCUCAGAUCUCUGCUAUUCCAGAACAUUCCUUUCAUAUGUCAUCGUAGAAUUUUUUAGCAGUCUUGAAUUUCGCGCUCCUGCGUAUGGCAGAAACCGAAUACACCCUCCGCUUAUAAGUACGUUUAGGCUUUUCAAUAGCAUGCUCCUUGUCACGCCCAAGAUGCGACCCUAUCCUCAAUUUGGCACGGGGGCCUCGUGAGGGAUAGAAGCGCAUCUCGUCGUGUCGCAAGAAUGGAUAUCGUUACAAGUACAUGUACUGAAAAGAAGAGAUAUAAAAAGAGUUGGCUUACACUCGCCACAAGCUACAUCAGAGUCACAUCAGUACAUUACAUAAUCAUCAAGAGUGAGAGAAGGGUCCGACUACGAACGAAAACAAACGACAAAAGAAGAACGACGUCCAUCCUUGCUAUCCCAGGCUGCCGGCCUGGAACCCAUCCUAGAUCGAUGAAGAAGAAGAAGAAGAAGAAGAAGAAGAAGAAGAAGAAGCAACUCCAAAUGGACAAUCAACGCGCUCGCGUCAAGUAACCUUUACAUGUACCUGCAACUGGUGUUGUAGUAAUCUGUGAGCCACAGGGGACUCAGCAAUCUCAUUUCCAAAGGUAUCAAGACUAGCAAACCUUAAUGGGUGAGGUAUGGUUAAGUGGUGAGGUUGCAGCAGCGGCUAAGCAUAUAUUUGGUGGCUAAACUUACGAGUACAAGAAAUGAGAGGGGGAAGAUCUACGCAUAACGGACGUGUCUACUGAUGAUCAAAUGAAUGAUCCUGAACACCUACCUACGUCAUACAUAACCCCACCAUGUCCUCGAUCGGAGAAAGAACUCAUGAGAGAGACAGUCACGGUUACGCACACAGUUGGCAAGUUUUAGUUAACGUAACUUCAAGUUAUCUAGAACCAGUGUUAAACAAAGCUUCCACGUUGCCACAUAACCGUGGGCACGGCUUUCCGAAAGAUUUAACCCUGCAGGGGUGCUCCAACUAGUCCAUCACAAAUUACAACAAGCCGCAUAGAAAUCCUCGAUCACGAAGCUCGCGAUCUCGUCGGAUUCCCUAGUGGAAAACCUCAACUCUGAGAUUACCCAAAGCAUCACCGGAAUCCCGAUGCACAAGAUAUUUCGUCAAAGGUAAAACUAAUCCAGCAAGGCCGCCCGACGUGUCGACGAUCCCGAUAGGAGUCGCGUACCUCGNNNNNNNNNNNNNNNNNNNNNNNNNNNNNNNNNNNNNNNNNNNNNNNNNNNNNNNNNNNNNNNNNNNNNNNNNNNNNNNNNNNNNNNNNNNNNNNNNNNNAUGCGCCCGCGGCACCGUCGAAACCCUGUUUUUAAAGUGCGUUUAAAACUUUCUCUGAUCGGGUUGAGAUUUGAUGUGCGGUCGUGAUUAGUUAUAGCGAGGCCGCCUGUCGAAUUUCGUCGCGAUCAGAGACCGUCUCAUACCCGAACGGUCGCCCGUAGCUGCAUCGUCUUCGGUUAUUCGUCGGACGUCUGUCGGUGUUUUAAAAUUCGUGCCGCGCCGCGUGUUCUCCCUCUCGUCUCCGGAUAUCCCCUCUACACAGCCGCGUACCCAUAGCCGCGUUCGGAAUCGUCCGAAUCCGACCCCGCGGUUGGAUCCGGAGCGCGAUUCCGGUUAACCGAGCCCCCCCCCGUUUGUCCUAUUUAUAGACCCCCAUGCAUUAUUCAGACAAACCCUCUCUCUCUCCCUCGGGANGGCCGCCGCCGGCGAGCCGCCCCUUGCAGGUCCUGGCCCGGACCGCCUCCUGUCCUCCCUUCCUCUCCUGCCUUCCCUCUCUCACCUCCUGUUCUCUUCCCCGCAUGAGCCAUGGUAGCCAUGCUCCCGAUCCCGAUCUCCUCGGCCGGCCUCCGCCACAUGCCGCCGCCGGCGGGAAUGAGAAGGGCUGCCUCAGACCCGCCCGGAUCUGCAACCUCCGGUCCCUCCGCCUUGGCCGGAGCCGUUCGCCGCGAGGAGCCGCCGCCGGCAGCCGCCAUGGAGCUCGGUCCCGUGCGGGAGAACGGGGACAACACGACGCCCAGCGCCAGGCGCGCCCCCGGCCCAGUCGACUCCCCGGGCCAGCUCCCGCAGCCGGCCCAGUCGCCCCGCUUGCCAGCGCCGGCCCAGGCCAGCUCGGCCCACUCCCGCGUCUGGCCGCCUCGCCUCUCCUCCGCCUGGGCCCCAAGCCCCCUGCGCCAGUCCGGCCCAAGUGGCCAGGUGAGCCAGUCCCUCGCCUGAGCCUUUCUUUUUUAUGUAGCGCCCCUGUUCGGCCCAAUAGUUAGUUAGGUUUAUUUUUCCUUUUCUCGGAAUUAGUUAUAUUUCACAGAAUAGACGUAUAAUAAAAUGCCCGUAGAUCUUUAUCCGUAAGUCGGAUCGAGGCAAGUUAUAUAUGUUUUUCGCGUAGUUUUACGCGUAGAUUACGUUUGUGUACCUCACGUAUUUGUUUGAUUUAGUUUAGCGGGUCAAAUGCUUUGUUUACCGUGCUGUCUAUAUAGUAUAGCCGUCGUAUUUAUUUUACGCGCUAGAAUGUACUGCCCGGAUGCCUUAGAUAAAUGCCCAUGUUUUAGGGAUCUUUAUUCCAUGUAUUUUAGAGCGGUCGUUGUUUUUUUACGUGUAGGGAUUUGCCGGUAGUUUAUUUUCCCGUAUCUAGGUGUUUAUCUCGCAUUUUUGUGUGGCAUUAUUUUGUGUUGCAAACCCCACAUAUUUUAUAUGAUUCCGGGGUAGAAAAAUCUCAUGGAUUUUUCUGUGCAAUUAGUUUUAGCUUUUGAGUAAGUUAGUUCGCGCGAUAUUUUGCCGUGAUGCCCUUUUGUUUAAUUCGUAGGAUUUAUUCCGUGCGACGUUUGACGGAAUUGUCAACUAGGAAGUUGAUCUUGGAUGUUUUGUUUAGCCUCUGGUAUUUUUAGUUGCAAUAGAAAUGCAUGUUUAGGUGUUGUUUGCUUGCUCUCAAGUUGCUAGAAAAAGUGCUGUUUUAGACGUGUUGAAAUAUUUCAAAGUCUGGAAUCUGUUAUUAUUUUAUUACUGUCUUGUCUUGCUUGCAUCUUGUGAUCUGUGGCUCUUUUGAGGUUGGUCCAAUGGAGUUAGUUGUACCCCUUAUGUUUCUCUAGCAUGCUGUAAAUUUUCAUGCCAUUUGGAGUCCUGUAGCUAUGAAUUUUGCUGCUGUCAAUAUACCUUCAGGCUGAAAACUGCACUUUCAUGAGGUGUAAUUUUCACUAAGUCUGAAAUAGUGUGUGAGAUGUCAUUUUGUGUCUUCUUUUCCUAGUGCUCCUUGCUGCCAUGCUAGUUGUUGUUAGAUGUUUGUUGUAGUGCUUUUUGCCCUCUUCCGUGCCAUGCCUUGCUUGAGCUUAUCGGAGUUGUGUAUCCGAAGUUGUGAGGCGUAGAAAAUGCUAUGUGGUUGAUUUUGACAGAUUGUAGUGAGUUCUUGUUAUGCUCGUAGUUUUCGAACCGGAGCUCCGUUUUGAUCGUGUCCUACAUGAAACUUGCUUAGAAUCUCGUGUAGUUUUAUUUUCUCUUGCUGGUUGUUUGUUUUGAAGUGCUCGUAGUCGUCGUUGCACACAUAUUGCAUUCAUGCCAUCAUAUCUUGCGGUGCUUGUAUCUUUUGAACCGUAGCUCCGUUGGAGAUGUUCUUUACGUGUAGAUUGCUUGCCUUGACGCGUAGAAUAACGUGAACCUAUUUGUUUUGCUGUUUAACAACUAAUUAAAGGUGUUAAUUCAGAUCUGGACAGAAUUGUAAAUUAACAUGUGAGGUCGUCUCGAAGAUACUAUAUGUCGUUUUCCGACCUCAUUUAAAAUGCCUAGAUAGGUAGUUUAUUUACGCUUCACCUCUUGCCAUGUUUAACCAAAUUUAAUAUUGCCGUGUAUUUAAUCGGGAGUGAACUAAAUAAUUAACGUGGAGUUUCGUCAAUAUGCAACUCGUGCAUAUUGAGCUUCACUUAAUGUGUAGUGUUUGAUUGUGUGAUUUGACAUGCCGUGACUUGCAUGUAUUCAGUAGCUCAUGCAUUAUUUGUGUUGUUGCACCGUGUGGUGAAUAUCAUGUGUUGAUGCUUGUUCCGGCUUUCCCCGUCUCGAUAGAGUUCCGCACGCGUGCCGGAUUGUGAGGACCAGUUCGACUACGUCUGUUCGUCUGCUUCACGGAGUCGUUCUUCUUCCAAGCGGGAUCUCAGGCAAGAUGACCAUUUCCCCAGAUACCAUUACUAUCAUUGCCAUGCUAGUUUAUCGCUUCUAUCGUUUAUGUCUCGUUGCCUACCACAUGUUAAAUAUCAGCCUCUCAACAAUGCCAUGAAACCGUCAACCUGUUCAACCUAGCAAACCACUGAUUGGCUAUGUUACUGCUUGCUUAACCUGUUGAUAGUGUUGCUAGUUGCAGGUGCAGUUGCUUCCAUGUGAAACAUGGGUUCCUCGUUAUAUCACCAUAUUUAAAUGCUAUUAAAUUUAAUGCACCUAUAUACUUGGUAAAAGGUGGAAGGCUCAGCCUUUCUAGCCUGGUGUUUUGUUCCACCUUUGCCCCCUUUAGUUGCCGGCUACCGGUGUUAUGUUCCAUAAUGAGCGCUCCUAACACGAUCGGGGUUGUUAUGGGGACCCCCUUGAUAAUUCGUUUUAGAUUAAAGCUGGACUAGCAAGGCCCAACUUUGGUACUACAUUUGCCUAACAACCUAAUAAUAAUGCAUAGGGACCCGCCGGCACUCGUGGACUAUUUUUAAUCAACCCCCGGGCCAGUGCUCCUCAUGAGUGUUGGUCCAAACCAGAGCAGCUUAUUAACGCUACCCGGGGCAACUCGACGUUUGGCGUGGUAACCAUAGCUCAUCCGUCGUGUCCUGAGAACGAGGUACGCGAAUCCUAUCGGGAUCGUCGACACGUCGGGCGGCCUUGCUGGAUUAGUUUUACCUUUGACGAGAUAUCUUGUGCAUCAGGAUUCCGGUGAUGCUUUGGGUAAUCUCAGAGUUGAGGUUUUCCACUAGGGAAUCCGACGAGAUCGCGAGCUUCGUGAUUGAGCAUUUCAUUGCGGCUUGUGGUAAUUUGUGAUGGACUAGUUGGAGCACCCCUACAGGGUUAAAUCUUUUCGGAAAGCCGUGCCCGCGGUUAUGUGGCAACGUGGAAACUUUGUUUAACACUGGUUCUAGAUAACUUGAAGUUAACUUAAUUAAAAUAUGCCAACUGUGUGCGUAACCGUGAUUGUCUCUUUUGUGAGUUCCUUCUCCGAUCGAGGACACGGUGGGGUUAUGUCUGACGUAGGUAGGUGUUCAGGAUCAUUCAUUUGAUCAUCUGUAAUUCACGUCCGCUAAGCGUACAUCUUCCCCCUCUUAAUUCUGGUACUCGUAAGUUAGCCACCAAAUAUAUGCUUAGCCGCUGCUGCAACCUCACCACUUAACCAUACCUCAUCCAUUAAGCUUUGCUAGUCUUGAUACCUUUGGAAAUGAGAUUGCUGAGUCCCCUGUGGCUCACAGAUUACUACAACACCAGUUGCAGGUACAGGUAAAGGUUAUUUGACGCGAGCGCGUUGAUUGUUCAUUUGGAGUUGCUUCUUCUUCUUCUUCUUCUUCUUCAUCGAUCUAGGAUGGGUUCCAGGCCGGCAUCCUGGGAUAGCAAGGAUGGACGUCGUUCUUCUUUUGUCGUUUGUUUUCGUCCGUAGUCGGACCCUGCUCUUACUCUUGAUGAUUAUGUAAUGUACUGAUGUGACUCUGAUGUAGCUUGUGGCAAGUGUAAGCCAACUCUUUAUAUAUCUCUUCUUUUCAGUACAUGUACUUGUAACGAUAUCCAUUCUUGCGACACGACGAGAUGCGCUUCUAUCCCUGACGAGACCCUCGUGCCAAAUUGAGGAUAGGGUCGCAUCUAGGGCGUGACAGCGGCAUCGCGCCGGCGGCCCUCGCCGGCAGGCACCGAGGCUCGGCCGCCUGAGGCUGCGGUGGCCGGCUCGGGGAACCUGCGCGGGGAGGCGGCGAGGCCCGCGGCGGCGCACGGGGCGGAGCAGAGAGGAGGCCGGCGCUGGGGCGAGAGGGGCGCGGCGACGGACAGGAGGCGCGGGGCUGCUGGCGCGGCGCUCGGGCAGGGGAGGCCAGGGCGCAGGGGUGUUGGGGCGGCAAAUCGGCGGCGGCAGGGCGGUGUGGUCGGCUUGGGGCUGACGGCGCGCAGAGGGAGGAGCGGCGCCAGGGCGAGCACCGCGGGGCACAGCGCUGGCACGGGAGGAGCACGUGGCUGCAGGGCACCGGGCGGUGAGGCGCGGGCUGGCGGCGCUNNNNNNNNNNNNNNNNNNNNNNNNNNNNNNNNNNNNNNNNNNNNNNNNNNNNNNNNNNNNNNNNNNNNNNNNNNNNNNNNNNNNNNNNNNNNNNNNNNNNCCCACCCACCCACCACCCCCCCCCCCCCGCGCCGACUCGUAAAUCUUAACGAAAAACGGAUGAACUAGUAUUGGAUGAACUAAUCUCCCGCGUAGUUUGAAUGUUAAUUUGCAGUUCUGUUUGCCGUGUCUCUUCUGCGCAACACGUUUCUGAAACUGUAACCCAGUUUGCACUGGACUGCAAAGUGAGUUUGCAGUUUCACAAACUGCAGGGUCUGCUAGAGAUGCUCUAAACUUCACUAGAAAGCCGUCAACUUCUCGUUCCACAAGAGUAGCAGUAUCUCACUCAAGCAGCAUGAUAGUGACCACAUACAUCUCAAAUAAACAGAACUACAUCCGGACAUUUCAUAUUAGAUUGUCAAAUCCAUACAAAAGCAUGCAUAUUAAAAAAAGUUGCGUACUAUGUAGAAACCUAACUAGUACUCCUCGUCGAAGAUUUCGAUGAUCUACGUGCCCUUCGACGGAUACAAGGACGACGGUUGCAGUUCUGCCCCCUCCGGCGGAUAAAUAUGCGGCAACUGUGGGUAUGACCCCUCCGUCUGCUCCGUUGCGGCCUCCUCCAUCGCUAUCUCCGUGUCAAGCUCGUCGAAGAGGGCGUCAGCCUCUACCUGCCUCUGUCGGAUGAGUCUGCGGUUGGCCCACACCUCGGCCUCAUCCUGGAUGGAAUCCUGGAUCGCUUGCUGCUCCGCCAUCUUCUCGGCUUGGGCAAUGGCGAACUCUACAUCCACCUCAUCAUGUUCAAGCCCAGAGUAGCAUGGUCCUCCUCGUCCUCCUCCGCCCCGUCAUUUUCCAUUGGCUCUGGCAGCCCCUCCUCCGUCUGAUCCUCCUCCUCCGACUUCGGCAAGUCCGAAGGCAGGACGGAGCAAUGCGGGCGGCAUGCCGAUCCUGGAUCUCCGCCUCGAUCUACACCCGUCGCUUCGGCGUGAAAAUAGCAUACGUGGUGAUCCUACGGCGGACCAUAUAGACGGUGAAGAGCAUGGGAGAGCGGGGAAGAUGAGGCGGACGGGCUCGGGUGGCGGCGGAGGGAGGGAGGAGGCAGAUGUGCUAGGGUUGGGGGACGCCGACCGGCUUAAAUAGCCAGCUAUGGCCUCGGGCGACGUGCCGGAGCGGCACGACACGACGUUCACACCGCGGCGACGGUCGACGUGUCCGUUGAACCGUCGGGUUUUCGGAUGAGUCUGGAUGGGAUCCUAUCAUUAGGCGCCCCUAUAUCCGUCACAAAGUUAGGCUGGAUAUGAGAGGUACUCGUCAUCCCGAGUGUUUGAUGCCGGUUUGAAAGGCACUGUUGGAUUGAAUUUUUGUGACCGGUUAAUGAUCAGCGGCCUACUCAGGUGUUUAAGAUGGAUAUGAGGAGUCCAACUGUAGAUGCUCUAACUUCAGGCCAAUUUUCUCAACGAAAUGAGGUAUUGAUCACGCGGAUGUAGGAGAGAUAGAUCGAUGCUGCGCAGGUACACGCGACACAUAGAGAAAAAAUAUCCUUUGCCAAAGUCUUUAUCCGAUGUUUAGCUGCUUGGUUUUGAAUCUUCCUUUCUUCUAGAUGCCAACAUUUUCUUUAUUAGCUUGUUCUUUCGCUUGCGUCUUACACGUUGAUCACUCGCCAGCGUGUAGGUUGCCGCCUAGACAGGGAUGUUCCUCUCGUCUGAAUGUCCUAGACCUUUCUUUUAAGGAGAAAAGACUACAAUUUGAUUUUAAGUUAAUGAAGCCCUUACGAUUAACCUUACAACACAACAAAGGAAAGGGAUCAGAAACAAGUCAGUAUAACAGUGAUGAGGAGCAACCACAAACCGCAUAAAACAACAAACCAAUACGAGUUGAAGAUUGAUGCGACACGUUGGGUCAUCCGAAUUAACGUCCAUGAUCUGUCAUGUAGAGCGAAGAAAGAUGCGGACUCAAAAAGGGAACAAAUGACAAGAGGGGCCAUGUCAUCACAAUCCCAAGGGCAGCAACCAUGGCAUCGCCAUCCAGCUCCAUCACCAAAAGGAGCCAAUGUUCCCUUGCCCUAGAUCGAGAGGGCGCCGCACCAUCGGAAAAUGAAGAUGCACAUGACCCUAGAGCCUGGAUGGAAACUAAUGCCUUGGUCCCACAUCAAGGAUUUUGAGCACAGACCGUGUGCAAACUUGCACAUCUUGAGAGAAGCAUCAUCGAGGCCACAAUAUCCUCAACGUGAAUAGAAGAAGUUGUUGUCCGCCACCACACUGCAACCACUACCAGUAGGCACCUUGCUCAUGAUACGAAGUGUCCAAGAAGCGAAUGACGCCACAACACCGACUUCGCCCGAUCUGAAGAUAGACCAAGGUUUUCACAUAGAGUAGAGAGGAGGAGGCCAUCCAUAAUGAGGCCUCCAAGGAGGGAAACGUUCCUCGAGAGCGUCGCUGUCAAAAGCACCGACACCGUCAAGCAAAGCUUUCUCCUGGGACCCGACCUUCUACCACCCAAAUUCCGCUAGCCACACCUCAACUGUGCCCCUGAAGGGACCAACGGAUUGGUGAGGAAGACAUGUAGAGGUGGAGAUGACACCCAAAACAGAGAAAGGUGCAACUUCGACGACAAUACCCAGGCAUGAACAUCUCCCACGCGAGCUGCCUUCUCGCUCGCACAAGCGAGGCACCACACGAGCACCUAGAAGACACCACCCACCGCGAGAGCACCUCCAAGCCCACAAUCCCGGAGUUGCCACUCGAGAGUGUGAAUAGCCAACCUUACAUGCCUUCCGUCGAGAAGACCAACCUUACAUGCCAUCCACCCAUGCUACCGCACCAACGCACAUCGAUAGCCUACAACUCCUCCACUAUCGGCGACCAUCUGCGUGACGGCUAGAUUCUUGAGGCUCAGAUUCACACGAAUUCACACGGACGUGUACCAGGUUGAGCACAAAUACGGUUAUCUAUGACUAUGGCCUAACGAGGUCGGACCAUGGAAGCUAGGAGGGAAGGAUGCCUGAAAGCCUCAACUCCGCCACUAGCCUGCCGACAUCGACGAUGAGGGGAGAUGGCAUGAGAGCUAGGUGGGAAGGAUGCAUGGAGGCCUCAACUCCGCCACGGGCAUGCCAACAUCGACGACGAGGGAAGAUGGCAUGGGAGCUAGAAGGGAAGGAUGCGUGGAGGCCUCAACUCCGCCACGGGCCUGCCGACAUCAACGGUUAAGGGCGCGGGAGAAAAACCAAAAGCUCUUUGAAAACAACCUAUACCCUUAAAAAACUUAAGAACAACUUUAGCCGGCCAACUCAAACGGACGUCCAUGUUAUCCGAGACUUGAGAACCUAGUUGUAUUUGUAUGCGCUUGGCGCCAUUGCCCAUUAUGCGUGCGUUGAUUCUCUUUGAGAGACGAACACAUCAACACAUGUUCCAUACACAAUUGCACACUUGCACUUGUCGACAAGGACAUGUUAAUUUAUGCGCUCGCCUCUAAAAAAAAUCAUUCCGGCCGCUCGCACGUCAUUCCAGUUUGUGCAGCCAGCCCAUCCUCUUCUAUUUAUAUGCUUGUUCGUUUUACAUCCGUUGCACUUGCACCCGAAGAGAAAAUUAAAGAAGAGAGAAGUUGCCCGUCGGCCAUGGAGAGCUCCUCCUCGUCUCUGUCGUUGAGCUCGUAUACCGGCAACAACAAGAGGGCCAGAGAGGCCGGCCAUGAAGCGGCCUCGUCCGCGGAGGCGGAGGCUGCCAAGAGGAUGCGGCCGGAGGACCUGCUGGACCUGCUCGACGACGACGCCGACGCCGCGGCGGCCGGCGACCUUGCCUCCGUCAUGCGGAGCCUGGAGGAGGAGAUAUGCUCCGGCGACGUGACCCCGCCGCAGCCGGAGCUCGGGUUCCUGCUCGAGGCCUCGGACGACGAGCUCGGCCUGCCGCCGGCCGCCGGGGCCUCCUCGUCGUCGGAU
rnacentral:lncRNA from 1 species